rnacentral:rRNA from 1 species
AUGGAAAAAGUGAAGGGUCCGAAAGCAAUUUGGGAUGCUGCGGCUCAUUCCAUUUAUAUGGAUGUGUGCGUAGAGGAGGUGCGAGCCAAUAACCGUGCUCCAGGACACACCACUUUGUCUGAUGUAGGCCAAGUUAAUUUUCUUACUAAGUUUAAUGAGCGCUCCGGGAGAAACUAUUCUCACCAACAAUUAAGAAACCGGUGGGAUGCAUGUAGAAGUGAUUAUGCCAUAUGGAAGACAUUGCUUCAAAAAGCUUCGGGCAUCGGAAGAGAUCCUUAUACAAAGACCAUUGCUGCUACGGAUGAGUGGUGGGCAUUGGAGUUGAAGGCACGUCCGCAGGCUACCAAGUAUCGGCAUGCUCCACUUGCGGAGGAGGACAAAAUGGAGGAGGUGUUUGAUGCUUGUUGUGUCACAAACGAGCAUGCGAGAGUGCCAAUUCCCACAUAUCAAGGUUCUACGUCUCGAAUCAAUUUUGUUCGUAUGGUGGAGGAGGAGGAAGUGGGCAAGUGA